CCUACGGGAUGCUGCAGUGGGGAAUAUUGCACAAUGGACGAAACCCUGAUGCAGCGACGCCGCGUGAGUGAAGAAGGAUUUCGGUACGUAAAGCUCUAUCAUCAGGGAAGAACAUGACGGUACGUGACUGAUACUCCCCUGCUAAUUUCGUUCCAGCAGCCGCCGUCAUACGUCGGGGGCAAGCGUUCUCCGGAUUUUAUGGGUGUAAAGGGGGCGUAGACGGUUGGGCAAGUCUGGAGUGAAAUCCCAUGGCUCAACCGUGGAAGUGCAUUGGAGACUGGGCCGCUGGAGUGCAGAAGAGGUAAGUGGAAUUCCUAGUGUAGCGGUGAAAUGCGUAGAUAUAAGGAGGAACACCAGUGGCGAAGGCGGCUUACUGGACUGUAACUGACGUUGAGGCUCGAAAGCGUGGGGAGCAAACAGGAUUAGAUACCCGAGUAGUC
rnacentral:rRNA from 1 species